GGAAGGAUCAUUACCGAGUGAGGGUCCUCGUGGCCCAACCUCCCACCCGUGACUAUUGUACCUUUGUUGCUUCGGCGGGCCCGCCAGCCCCGUGCUGGCCGCCGGGGGGCCUUGUGCCCCCGGGUCCGCGCCCGCCGGAGACCCCAACAUGAACACUGUUCUGAAAGCCUGUAUGAAUCCGAUUCUUUGUAAUCAGUUAAAACUUUCAACAAUGGAUCUCUUGGUUCCGGCAUCGAUGAAGAACGCAGCGAAAUGCGAUAACUAAUGUGAAUUGCAGAAUUCAGUGAAUCAUCGAGUCUUUGAACGCACAUUGCGCCCCCUGGUAUUCCGGGGGGCAUGCCUGUCCGAGCGUCAUUGCUGCCCUCAAGCCCGGCUUGUGUGUUGGGUCCUCGUCCUCCCCUCGCGGGGGGACGGGCCCGAAAGGCAGCGGCGGCACCGCGUCCGGUCCUCGAGCGUAUGGGGCUUUGUCACCCGCUCUGUAGGCCCGGCCGGCGCCAGCCGACGCAAAUCACCUUUUUUUCCAGGUUGACCUCGGAUCAGGUAGGGAUACCCGCUGAACUUAAGCAUAUCAAUAAGCGGAGGAAAAGAAACCAACCGGGAUUGCCUCAGUAACGGCGAGUGAAGCGGCAAGAGCUCAAAUUUGAAAGCUGGCUCCUUCGGGGUCCGCAUUGUAAUUUGCAGAGGAUGCUUCGGGCGCAGCCCCCGUCUAAGUGCCCUGGAAUGGGCCGUCGGAGAGGGUGAGAAUCCCGUCUGGGAUGGGGUGCCUGUGUCCGUGUGAAGCUCCUUCGACGAGUCGAGUUGUUUGGGAAUGCAGCUCUAAAUGGGUGGUAAAUUUCAUCUAAAGCUAAAUAUUGGCCGGAGACCGAUAGCGCACAAGUAGAGUGAUCGAAAGAUGAAAAGCACUUUGAAAAGAGAGUUAAACAGCACGUGAAAUUGUUGAAAGGGAAGCGCUUGCGACCAGACUCGCUCGCGGGGUUCAGCCGGCAUUCGUGCCGGUGUACUUCCCCGUGGGCGGGCCAGCGUCGGUUUGGGCGGCCGGUCAAAGGCCUCCGGAAUGUAGCGCCCUUCGGGGCGCCUUAUAGCCGGGGGUGCAAUGCGGCCAGCCUGGACCGAGGAACGCGCUUCGGCUCGGACGCUGGCAUAAUGGUCGCAAACGACCCGUCUUGAAACACGGACCAAGGAGUCUAACAUCUACGCGAGUGUUCGGGUGUCAAACCCGUACGCGCAGUGAAAGCGAACGGAGGUGAGAGCCCCCUUGCGGGGCGCAUCAUCGACCGAUCCUGAAGUCUUCGGAUGGAUUUGAGUAGGAGCGUAAAUGUGGGGACCCGAAAGAUGGUGAACUAUGCCUGAAUAGGGCGAAGCCAGAGGAAACUCUGGUGGAGGCUCGCAGCGGUUCUGACGUGCAAAUCGAUCGUCGAAUUUGGGUAUAGGGGCGAAAGACUAAUCGAACCAUCUGGUAGCUGGUUCCUGC
rnacentral:misc_RNA from 1 species